rnacentral:rRNA from 1 species
UACGUAGGGUGCAAGCAUUAAUCGGAAUUAUUGGGCGUAAAGGGCGUGUAGGCGGCCUAUCAAGUCAGAUGUGAAAUUCCGGGGCUCAACCUCGGAGCGGCAUUUGAAACUAAUAGGCUAGAGGAUAGGCGGAGAAAACGGAAUUCCACAAGUAGCGGUGAAAUGCGUAGAUAUGUGGAAGAACACCGGUGGCGAAGGCGGUUUUCUAGCUUAGACCUGACGCUGAGGCGCGAAAGCAAGGGGAUCAAACAGG